AACGAACGCUGGCGGCAUGCCUAACACAUGCAAGUCGAACGAGACCUUCGGGUAUAGUGGCGCACGGGUGCGUAACGCGUGGGAACCUGCCCUUCGGUUCGGAAUAACUCACCGAAAGGGGUGCUAAUACCGGAUAAUGUCUUCGGACCAAAGAUUUAUCGCCAUUGGAUGGGCCCGCGUUGGAUUAGCUAGUUGGUAGGGUAAAAGCCUACCAAGGCGACGAUCCAUAGCUGGUCUGAGAGGAUGAUCAGCCACACUGGGACUGAGACACGGCCCAGACUCCUACGGGAGGCAGCAGUGGGGAAUAUUGGACAAUGGGCGAAAGCCUGAUCCAGCAAUGCCGCGUGAGUGAUGAAGGCCUUAGGGUUGUAAAGCUCUUUUACCCGGGAUGAUAAUGACAGUACCGGGAGAAUAAGCUCCGGCUAACUCCGUG
rnacentral:rRNA from 1 species